CAAGGAAAUAAAGAUGAAAAAGGGUUUCAGAGAAACUGUAAAGCACAGCUACCAAUAGUAAGGUAUAAUUAGAAAUUAAUACGCAAGGAAAUAAAGAUGAAAAAGGGUUUCAGAGAAACUGUAAAGCAAAGCUACCAACAGUAAGGUAUAAAUAGAAAUUAAUACGCAAGGAAAUAAAGAUGAAAAAGGGUUUCAGAGAAACUGUAAAGCACAGCUACCAACAGUAAGGUAUAAAUAGAAAUUAAUACGCAAGGAAAUAAAGAUGAAAAAGGGUUUCAGAGAAACUGUAAAGCACAGCUACCAACAGUAAGGUAUAAAUAGAAAUUAAUACGCAAGGAAAAUAAAUGAAAAAGGUUUUCAGAGAAACUGUAAAGCACAGCUACCAAUAGUAAGGUAUAAUUAGAAAUUAAUACGCAAGGAAAUAAAAAUGAAAAAGGGUUUGAGAGAAACUGUAAAGCACAGCUACCAAUAGUAAGGUAUAAAUAGAAAUUAAUACGCAAGGAAAUAAAAAUGAAAAAGGUUUUCAGAGAAACUGUAAAG